UCAUAGUUGGUUCAGGUGGUUAAGAAUCUGCCUGCAAUGCAGGAAACCUGGGUUCAAUCCCUGGAUUGGGAA
rnacentral:tRNA from 1 species